UAUGACUUCUGGCAAGUGCCACUUCUGUGUUCUAGUAUGUCCAUCUGAGAAGUGGGAACCCAUUCUCCUCACAAGGUGACUGUGAGAUCCAUCUGAGAAGUGGGAAACCAUUCUCCUCACAAGGUGACUGUGAGAGUAAAUCAGGAGGUAGAAUUUUCAAGUGCAAUAACUAGCCAUUGGAAGGCACAUAAAAAUACUCCCAACCACACAAUGUGAACGCGUCACCACAGAAGAAAUGAGGCAUUUGACAGCUUGUUUGAUCUAACUCGUGCUGGUUCCUUCAGAUAUAAUAGUGAAAGCUUCCAGAGUUUAUAUUCUGGUACCUUCUCUGCCAAGCUUAUGGAGAGGGUUGCAGAGCCUCCACCACCUGGGAAUUUCUGGUGCAUUUUCUUGGUGCGUCCAUAUGUAGUAUCUGCAGCAUUUGGGGCACAUGAAGGCUUGGUAAUAUCUGAGGAUGACAGAGGCACCUAAGCAUGGAAGAGGUUGGUGGUUAGGCCUCUCCAUUCUCUCUGAGCAUUCACCCAGAAGUUCCACCCCUGGGCAGAGACCAGCCCUUUCCUGCUCCUUCUCUUUGGGGACUCCUGUGGUUCUAUCAGACAUUGACUAAUUCUUGAGAGAUGCUUAUAGCUCCAGGCCUGAAGUGAUUCUCUAGUGUGGUUGGAUCAAUCCCAAACUUCUCUGGCACCAUGGGAAAUGAAGCCAUCUGCUCGUAUCUCACUGCCUGUCUUCUCUGCCAAAGUCUUGAAUCUUCAGCUUUAAAAAACUACUUGAUACUCUUCAAUAGUCAAGACCUUCUGAUUCCAAUCAAGGUCAAACACCCUGUGGAAAACCCAGACAUAGGCAGUGAGCCAAGAGUUGGCUAAGUCAUAGUGAGCUCUUCUGCUUUGAAGGGAGGGAACUUGGUCUGGGAGCAGCUGUUCAAACAAGUGGAAGAUCCAGUUGAUUAAAGAGAAGAGAAAUAGUGUGGUAGUUUGAGUGAGAAUGGCCCCAGUAGGCUCAUAUGUCUGAUGGAACUAUUUGGGAAGGAUUAGGAAGUGUGGCCUUGUUGGAGGAGGGGCAUCGUUGGAGACUGAUUUAAAGGGUACAAUAGCCCAUGCCAUUCCCAGUUAGUUCUCUGCCUCGUGCUGUGGAUCAGAGAAACUGAGGAAAACAGGGAUUUGGGGGUGUGACUAACCUGUUCCAGAUCAUUUGGCUGUGGAGACCCAGUCCCUGCCCUCAAGAAGCACGUGGCCUGGUGAAGGACAUGAGUGGUACAGGCUGGGUUCAUGCCUGUUUGAAUUUCCAGUGAAGUCUCCAAUCAAGGUUGGGGUCUGACCUUGGGCAGGUCAAAGGAACUGGAGAGGAACUUCCCCCGACAGCACUGCAUGGUGUCGCAUACAGGACAUCAGUGAGAUCCCCAGAGUUGACUGGGGAAAUCCCAACAGCUACAGCUCAGGGACCAGGCACCUCUCCACGUGAAGACUUGCCUUCAGGGGGCAUCACAUGACAUGGUGCACGUAUGGAGGUCAGAGGACAACUUCAGGAGUCGGCUCUCUCACCAUGUGGCGGAACUCAGGUCAUCAGGUCUAGAGGCAAGAAGCUUUACCCACUGAAGCGUCUUACCAGGCCCAAACUUGAUUUGUUGUUUUGUUUCCCUUUUUUCUUUUUCUUUCUUUUCUUUUUUUUUCUUUGGCCUUUUGAGACAGGGUUUCUCUGUGUAGCUUUGGCUGUCCCAUAACUCACUCUAUAGACCAGGCUGGCCUCAAACUCACAGAAAUUUGCCUGUCUCUGCCUCCCAAGUGCUGGGGUUAAAGGUAUGUGCCACCACCUCCCAGCCUGUUUUCCUUUAAAAAAAUCAGUAGUAGUACAUUUUAGAAAGUAGAGUAAAUACAUAAAACAGUAACACGGUUGUUUGUUAUCACUAUCGUAUAAUUUUUCCUGUCUAUAAUUGGAUGUUCUAUACUUUUAUAUGGCUGGUGUGGUGGCAGGUUUCUCACUACCAGAAUCUCUAAGGACACAAGUAGUGUCUUGUGCUGAAACAUUACUUCACUGAGGCUGCUAGGCCUAGAAAUUCUUGAGCUUCCUUAUAAUCUCAUGGGACCACCAUUGAACGUGUGUUCUGCCAUAGACAGAAACCUCAUUGUGCACGUAUGUCCAUACACAAGUGAGGCCACAAUGUUAAAGACAGCCUGAAAUGUAAGCAGGCAGCCUCACCUUUCAGAACAACGUUUUUAGACUAAAAUGCUGCAAACAACGUUUUUGUGAAUUUCUUCCUGAAGAAAAAGUUGAGUUUUCUCUUCAUAGGUUCUUGCUCACAAGCUGACACAAACAUCACACAACUGUGAUUGGCUGCAUGAGCCCUUCACAUGAUUGAGUCGAUCAAUCUGUUAUGGAUGGAGGUGAGCUCCUAAGGCCCCCACCCCUCUCUGAAGAGCUAUUGACAGUUAAUGGUUGCUGGGGAAGGGAGAUGUUUUCUUCAGUGGCGUAGCCACUGGUAUGUUGCCAAUGCUCCUGCAAAUGUCUCUUUCUGAGGCUCAGCUAAGCAACUCCAAUUAAACUCACUGGGUAAAAUACAGCAAAAGAUAUGAAAAUAGAGGGGGAGUCGUUCGGGAGAGGAAGGGGAUCGACAGGAGUGGGAAGGGUGUAUAUGAUCAAGAUACAUUAUAUAUUACGAUCAAAAUGCAUGUAUAUAUAUACAUAUAGAUAUGAAAAUGUCAUCAUGAAACCCCAUUGCUAUAUAUAAUUAAAAUAUGGUAAUUUU